UGGGGAAUAUUGCACAAUGGGGGAAACCCUGAUGCAGCGACGCCGCGUGAACGAAGAAGGUAUUCGUAUCGUAAAGUUCUGUCCUAUGGGAAGAUAAUGACAGUACCAUAGAAGAAAGCUCCGGCUAAAUACGUGCCAGCAGCCGCGGUAAUACGUAUGGAGCGAGCGUUGUCCGGAUUUAUUGGGCGUAAAGCGAGCGCAGGCGGUCAAUUAAGUCUGAUGUGAAAGCCCCCGGCUCAACCGGGGAGGGUCAUUGGAAACUGGCUGACUUGAGUGCAGAAGAGGAGAGUGGAAUUCCAUGUGUAGCGGUGAAAUGCGUAGAUAUAUGGAGGAACACCAGUGGCGAAGGCGACUCUCUGGUCUGUAACUGACGCUGAGGUUCGAAAGCGUGGGUAGCAAACAGG
rnacentral:rRNA from 1 species